rfam:Alligator sinensis unplaced genomic scaffold scaffold386_1, whole genome shotgun sequence
GGCACUGUGGCUUAGUUGGUGAAAGCACCUGUUCAGUAAAUAGGGGAUCCUGGGUUCAAAUCCCAGCAGUGCCU